ensembl:lncRNA
UUAGAAUUGCAAAGGAUCCAAAUAUUUCAAAAGGCUUUUCUGGCGAACGGUUCAAUGCUGCACACAUCAAUGCUGCGAGAAACGGACUAAAAGUCGUUGCUCUUCACCGCUAUUUAUAGGUUUUUGGAUCAAAGGAUCAAAGGAUCAGAAUGGUGGUAAAAUUCUACAUGUGUGUGACGUCAUAAUUCUGUAAGGCAAUGAGGUUGUCACGUGAUAUUUUUGGAGGAGGGCAUUUUUCAACUUGGACAAAUUAUCAAUAAAGUUUCAAUCUCUGUUAUUUUCCCCAAAAACGUGUUGUCGCAAUAAUGUUUUCUAUUGUAAUUUGUGCCAACAGAUGGCGCAGUUUAAAGUUGGCUGUUACUCUGCCCAGGCUGCUACCAUAGAAGAAGAAUGUAGACCAAUAGUACUUUAACGAUGUCCGCUGAUCGUUUCCGUGGAAAUCUUAGCAUUGCUUUAGCCGUCAAGCUAAAGGUUUAGCUUCAUACUGCCAUAUUUUCAGAGUAACAAAAUAUUUAAACGGUCUCAGAUCAUGGUGAGUAUUUGAAAAAAUGUUUAUUUAAUGUGAAGCCUGUGAUGUGGAAAGGUUAGCAAGCGUAAUUUUGCCUAUUGUGUUAUACACGGGUGCUUACAUCCGAGUAGUGUUGAUCUUUUCUAAGGUCCAUGGGUUUAUCCAACGAGCAGCUAAAUCACCGUUAUAUCUGUAAUUUUGUGGGCAACGUCUUAAUGCAAAAAAAAAAAAUAAAAAAUCCCAAAGCAACGAAGCAAAGACUAAAAAACCCCACAAUGCGUUUUUAAGCUCUCUCUGUGUUCACUGCCUCUGCAAGUGUCAAACUUCCUCGCUUUAGCUGAUGCUAACCAACAUUAGCGCUUACGGUUCGUAUAUAAACACAACUGUCAGCCCUUCACUUUUGGUGCCGACAACAUUUUGAGCAUUUUCGACAGUUUGUGAAAUGGUCGUCAUUGGCAUUACAUGCCAGUAGUGUUCGCUAACUGACUUUACCGGUGAUUAUAUUUAUUAUUGUUAUUAUUAUUAUUAUUAUUAUUAUUAUGUAUUAUGAUUAGUUUCCCCACCGGAAGAAUGCGACGUUCUUGCCAGAACAUUCCCAAAUAAUUGACCACGUUUAUUAACAGAUCAAUUUUCUCCACAGUUUUAGGGUGAGCUAGAAUAGAUAUAUGGUUUCAGUAAUACGAAUAAGAGCGCAACAGCAUAGAGACAAUGACGAUCACUCUCAUAAUUUCAUUACGUUAGUGCACCCAUCGCUCCGCAUCCUUAACGCUACAUUGAUGUCGAGAGUCUCUGACACAGCUGUGCUCUGCAGCACAGACACCCUGCUUAUCUGUGAUUCGGCCAGUCUGGUGUUGAACUCCAAAGACAUGCGCGGGGUUAGGUUAGUUGGCUGUUGGUGUGAGUGGUUGUCUGAGUCUCUCUAAUAACCCUCCAACAGACUGGCGACCUGUCCAGGGUGUACUUUUGCCCUAUGACGGCUGGAAUACAACCUGAAUAAAAUAAGUAGGAGAAAAUGAAUGAUGUUUAUGAACUGUAGUUAAUGUAGUCAGACAAUAAGUUACUGAGCAACAGGCCACAAGUCUUGGUGCAGAAUCAUACUAAGAUUUAAAAAAUAAAAUGUUGGCACUGGUGUUUGAAACAGUAUACUGUCAGUAAGACGGGAGCAACUGCACACAUCUGGAAACUAAUAACUAGAGUAGUUAAGUAACAUUUUGUUACUUCAUCCAUUUAGCCAGGUAUAAUUAGCAUGUCUACAUACAUGUCAUUUCUAAUGUGGUCCUAUGUGGUAUGUUGUAGGACAGUGAAGUGUCUGACACUGACCAUGUACCAGUGCCUGAGAACACUGGUAUGGAGGGGGAGAACGCACCUCUUUACUGUAUUUGUCAGAAACCAGACAUCAACUGCUUCAUGAUGCUUUGCCAUGAUAAAUUGGUCAGUUGACAACCAGGAGCCGUACACCUUAACCUCAGAGGCCAGGACAUCCAGGGGCAGUGUGAACACGCACUUGUUUAAAUGGGACGCAAGACGGACUAUAGAGGGCCACCCCCUUGCCAGACAACCAAGUGCUGUCCCUGUCCACGGCCAGUGUGAGAAGGACUCUCACUAAAGUCAACCCACACAAAGCUGCUGGACCAGACAAUAUACCUGGACGCGUGCUCAGAGCCCGUGCUGACCAGCUGACUGAUGUCCUAGCAGGCAUCUUUAACAUCUCCCUGAGUCAAGCGGUUGUGCCACAGUGCUUUAAAACCACCACCAUCAUACCUGUCCCCAGACCUUCCCAAAGCCUAAUUACACAAUGAUUGCCUGAGCCUAUUCUUGUUAAAUGAUGAAAAACUCAAAGGCACGUUUGGGCAGUGGAUCUGUGUGAAAUCAGCAGCUUGCAAAACUAAAUCAAAAUGUGUGCUAUUGAUUCUAAAAAUAGAAAUCACAAUAAAGUUCAACAUUUACUAAAACCGCCAUUCAGUCAUCUGAGAAUCUUUCCUCAUGAAAUUAUAACGGUUAGAUGAAUGUAUAUGCAGUGAUUUACUGAUCAAUGAUAAAAGGGGAGAUUUAUGCAAUAACGAAGACUGUCAUGAAAAGUAUUUGGCAUCUGAUCUCCUGUAACCUGCGGAGCUAAGCUGUUUUACCAGCUCUGCUCUCUGAUUUUUCUUUUAUGAAAAAACACAAGUUGUCAAAGUUAUUUGUUUGCAAAUGUAUUUCAGAAAUAUCGACAUACUUUUUUUAAUCAGCAGAAACUUUAUGUCAGUAGUGCAAAAACCUGCACUGAUCUGACCUCAUUUCUUCCUCAUCCUGAUUCCUGACCUGGGAAGGGAGAGAAAUAUUUGUUUUUGUUUGUCUUCUUGUUUUAUUUAAUUCCUUGUGGGAUUUGGAUCCAACACGUAAAGUAUGCAUAUUAUGCACACACACAAACACACAUGCAGCUAUUACCCAUUUCUUGUAUUCUUGAAUAAAGACAUUGAUUUGACACA